UGAAUACGAGAUGCUACGGCGUCGAAGCAGUCUAUGUCAUACUUCCAAGAAAAGCUUGCACUGUCAUAAACAAAUAAUGCCUGUACCAUAACCGACACAGGUGGGUAGGUAGAGUAUACUAAGGGGCGCGAGAUAACUCUCUCUAAGGAACUCGGCAAAAUGACUCCGUAACUUCGGGAGAAGGAGUGCCUUAUUUAUAAGGUUGCAAUAACAAGAUCCAAGCAACUGUUUACCAAAAACACAGGUCUCCGCUAAGUCGUAAGACGAUGUAUGGGGGCUGACGCCUGCCCAGUGCCAGAAGGUUAAAGAAGUUGGUUAGCAUCCGCGAAGCUGAUAACUGAAGCCCUGGUGAACGGCGGCCGUAACUAUAACGGUCCUAAGGUAGCGAAAUUCCUUGUCGGGUAAGUUCCGACCCGCACGAAAGGCGUAAUGAUUUGGAUACUGUCUCGGAGAGGGGCUCGGUGAAAUAGACUUGUCUGUGAAGAUGCGGACUACCUGCACCAGGACAGAAAGACCCUAUGAAGCUUUACUGUAACCUGAAAUUGAAAUUGGACUUUACUUGCGCAGUAUAGGUGGGAGGCGUUGAGAAUAUUCUUGCGGGAUUAUUGGAGCCAUCAGUGAGAUACCACUCUUGUAAUGUUAGAUUUCUAACUUUGUAUCAUUAUCUGGUCAAAGAACAGUUUCAGGCGGGCAGUUUGACUGGGGCGGUCGCCUCCUAAACGGUAACGGAGGCGCACAAAGGUUUCCUCUGAACGGGUAGAAAUCGUAUCUAGAGUAUAAAGGCAUAAGGAAGCUUGACUGUGAGACCUACAAGUCGAGCAGGGACGAAAGUCGGUCUUAGUGAUCUGACGGUGCUGAGUGGAAAGGCCGUCACUCAACGGAUAAAAGUUACUCUAAGGAUAACAGGCUGAUCUCCCCCAAGAGUUCACAUCGACGGGGAGGUUUGGCACCUCGAUGUCGGCUCAUCGCAUCCUGGGGCGGUAGUACGUCCCAAGGGUUGGGCUGUUCGCCCAUGAAAGCGGUACGCGAGCUGGGUUCAGAACGUCGUGAGACAGUUCGGUCCAUAUCCGGUGUAGGCGUUAGAAUAUUGAGAGGAGCCUUCUUUAGUACGAGAGGACCGAGAAGGACAUACCUCUGGUGUACCAGUUAUCGUGCCAACGGUAAACGCUGGGUAGCUAUGUGUGGAGUGGAUAACCACUGAAAGCAUCUAAGUGGGAAGCCCACCUCAAGAUAAG
rnacentral:rRNA from 1 species